rnacentral:rRNA from 1 species
AGAACGAACGCUGGCGGCAUGCCUAACACAUGCAAGUCGAACGAGACCUUCGGGUCUAGUGGCGCACGGGUGCGUAACGCGUGGGAAUCUGCCCUUGGGUACGGAAUAACAGUUAGAAAUGACUGCUAAUACCGUAUAAUGACUUCGGUCCAAAGAUUUAUCGCCCAGGGAUGAGCCCGCGUAGGAUUAGCUAGUUGGUGAGGUAGAGGCUCACCAAGGCGACGAUCCUUAGCUGGUCUGAGAGGAUGAUCAGCCACACGUGGGACUGACGACGACCGGCCCAGACCUCCGUACGGGACGGCGACGCGAGGUGGGGAAUAGUUGGACAAGUGGGACGAAACGCCUAGA